rnacentral:lncRNA from 1 species
GCUUGGCGGCUUCCCUCGGUCUUGAUCAAUCUCUAUCUUGCUCGGUCUCAAUCUUGGCUGAUCUCGGCCUUGAUUUGGUCCCUGAGUCACGAUCUUGGCAAUCUAACUUUGUGUCAUGAUCCGGUAUGACGUGGGGUUGAUUCUCGGCCUGUCACCCCCUGUCUCGAUUAAUCAAAAAAAUGUCAAGUCCGUUUUUGACCGUAUACAUGGAGCAUAUUGAAUUGUAGACAAUAGUGGAAACUGAAAAAAGUAUUACUCCCUCCGUUCUAAUUUAUGUUAACCUAUUUGACUGGGCACUUAGUUUAAAAAUAAUAAUUUUUUUUGGAAUUUAUGGUCCUAAACAAGUCAAAAAGGGGUCCAUAGUAUUUGUGUGAUUAUAAAAACUUUCUCAUUAAGGGUAGAAUUGAAAGUUUAGGUUAAAUUGAUUUAAAUUUAGAAAGGGGUCAUUCGUUUUGGAAAGGACCAAAAAGAAAAUAGGUUCACAUACACUGGAAUAGAGGGAGCACUAUCUUGUGACACCCAAACUGGUGGUAUGUUUAGCAUAAGGAGGAACAUGUUGGCUCAAUGAUAACAUCAGAUCAAGGAGCUCUUCUUUUGAUAGCUGGACAGGGUGCUAGUGGACAGACAAAGGAGAAAUACGUUACCUGUUAGGCAAGGUAACAAAGCAUUACAUUCAAUAUAGAAACUUUUAUUGUUAAUGAAAUAACCCAUUACUUAGGGUUAUGCUCAACUCAAGCUAUCGAAUCGAAGGAGCAUCACUUUUGAUGGACGAAUUUACUCAUGAUAGUAAUAUUAGGCAUGAAGGAAUAACUGUUGUAUUAUUUAUACCUAGUAAUGCAAAGUCAAAGAUUUCUUUGUGGUCCCUUUUCUUUCUCUACUUCUUUGUCUUUUAUGAAAGACAAUGUGUCCCUCAACGGUUAUGGAAAGUUUCUUUCUUCUCUUUACAUUGAAUUACUCUUUGUUGGGCUUGUAAAGAGCUAGUAAAAGGGAGUGGCCUCGUGCAUAUAUGAAAUUGUUCCUGAAGGUCAAACGGGUCGAUUUGCCCCCAACUGCGCACGAGAUAUACGUGAGCCUAAUCCAAAUAAUUUUUAGCAUUGGUUUGAUAAGUAUUCAGUAAGUUGUAUAAGUUAAUUUUUAUUUCCUUCUUGUUCUUGGUCAAUAUUAUGGUGGAUCAAUGACACUAUUUAAAGGUGCUAAUCCAGUGUAUAAUUUUUAGUCAUUUAUUUUCUCAUUGAUAGCUGUGUAUGUCCCUGGAUUACUCUCCUUCAUAAUGUAAAAACAUAUUGGAAGCCUCUUGUAAUUCUUUUCCGGUGCUCCUCUUAUCUUAUUUAUACCUUAUUGAAUAGAUUUUCAUGCCUUGUAAAAAGGUGAUGUGUUGUAGAAAUGCGGCACUUUUAAUACAAAUUUUAUAGACUUUAUAUUAACUUUUAAAGUAUCUUAGAUUAUUUUUACGUUGUUUGUAGGAAAUUAGACUUGAAGAGCCAAGAACAUGAAGAAAAAAAAAGAAUCAAAAACCUUGAAGAAGUAAAAUUUGCAAUUAGUUAUGCGACCGCAAAAUAGAUAGGCGGGCCGCACUUCUAUCGCAAAGCGUCUAGACAUUCUUAGUUUUUAGAAUAAAUAUACGGUCUAUUAUGCGGAGAGCAUAACCAAUGUGCAGAUCGAAAAAUUAUCGCACAAAUGCUAGAGGAAUUUUCAGCUAUCAGAAGCGACAAGUCUGCAACCCAUUAUGUGGACCAUGAAAUAAUUAUGCGGACCGCAUAACAGAUCUGCGAUAGCAUUCUGAAAAAGUUGAAGAUCAAUUUUACAGUGAACCGCAGAUCACGUACGCGGUCCGUUUCUUGAUCGCGGAUCUUAUCUGAGGGAUAUUUUUGUCACAGAUUUGUCCGCAAUUUUUGGCAAUUAUAAAUAGAAUUGUUUACCGUGAAAAUGGUAAUUAUAAUUAAAUUUGAUUUUGCGGUUCCAUAAAUACGUGAUCUAUUUUUAUGCUUUUUGUUUGGGCAAUAGAUGCUAAGUGAGGUACUUGGAAUCAAGAUAAGAGCUUAAAAACAAGAUGUUAACCAAACCAAAUUGCUGUCAAUCGGGGCCUCGAGUUUACUUAUUCGGGGCCUCGGGGUCAAGUUCAAUGUCCGCCGAGGGUGAUCGAGGGACGACUAACAAUUAUAAUCAAAUCAAUGAUGUCUCUUUAUGGCCAAUAAUAAGAAAUAAAUGACGGACAAUAAAUAGAAAACAAUGGAUAUGAACAUAAAUGCAAGUAAUGAGAUCAAGAGAAUAUGUUAGAGAGCAGAGAGAAUGUUCUUGUGUAUUUAGUAUUGAGCAAUAGGUAUUUACAAAAGGACAAGGAUCCCCUUUAUAUAUGAGGGGGAAUCCCAACAUAGUACAGAUGUAUUAAUUACAAAGAUAAGAAAGUGGUACAACUAGUUAAUGCCUUGAUUCUUUUUUUGGACUAGUCUACUAGGCUUUAUUAGCUGUAUGUACGCGCCUUGGGAACUUCACCUUGAUCCAUCGAGACCACUAAUUUACAUUGCCUUGCGGCCGGUCAUUAUUCACACUACCUCGAAGUCGAUCACCGAGAAUCCUUAGAGUCUAUCACUGAAAAUACUUCCUUGAUGAUCGUAAAAUCGAACCGUCGCUUUCUACCGUAUACAGAUAGUACCCGCGUUUCGUAGAACAAUGUGAUAGGAAACGAUUUUGAACUCAUACUCCUUAAGCAUCAUUAUCAUGACGUCAUCCCAUUAGAGCAUUAAAUUCCAUAACUCAAAAGUCGCACAAUGGUCGCCGUCAAACAUGACUAUCGAGAAGCCCACAAACAGCUAUUGGUUCGUCCUUUCCGCUGCCCAUAUGGCUUCUAUAACUGCAUCAGUCAUUUGAUAAUUCACACUUUUACAACAUAUUCAAGUUUUCAAAGCCAAAUCCCUCCCCUUUCACAUUCUUUCUUCUUUCGUUCUUGAUUCUCUGCCUACUUUCUCAAAAAAGCCUUUCCACCAACAUGGCUAGAACUUCCAAGACAGUUCCUCAGAAAAACAAGGCUAGCUCUUCAUCUCAAAUAUCCAAAGGAAAGCCUAAAGUGAUACCCACCGUUGAACAGUGUACCCCUACUGAAUUCAACACGGCGAAGGAUUUUUCCGUCGACAGAUCCUCGUCUACACUGGGCUGAUCUGAACACAUGUCUCCGUAUAUUAGUGUUGUGACCGAUACAGGAAAAGUGAAAGAAGACUUUCAAUGGAGGGAGGCAGUGCUGGUUGAGAUCCCCCAUUCUAACGAGAGCAUAACAUACCACAAGGCUGGCUUCCUUUAUGUAUAUACAUACGCAUUCACUUUAGGUCCGGUCGAUUGAUCGAACCCUUCUUCCCCGGUGAUAUAUCCGGUUAUUCUCGACUUCUGCAACAAGUACCGAGUGAUUCUUGGCCAGAUCUAUCCAAGAAUCAUAGUAAAAUCCUUCUUUCCACCUAUAUCAUAUUUUUAGGCUUCUCCCCCUUAUCCUCCAUCCUAAAAAAUUUUGGCCACUAUGUUUACGCAAGCUUUUGCGACGGAGUACAAAUGAGACCGCCUCCCGACGGUGAGGUGGAGACUUCGGAGCUUGAUAAGGGCAAGAAGUGGAAGAAAAAGGCGGCUGCUGAUUCUCCUGUGGCUAAGAAAGCUAAAUCAUGCAGGCCUAGAGGUUCCGCUAGGACCUCGACUUCAGCUUCUGGAGCAAGUCCCAGUACUAGCGAUGAAGACGAUGAUAGGAUAAGUACUGUUUGGUACAAAGGAUGAGGUCGGGUGCGGAUGUCCCACAUGUAGAGACCACUAAAUUGGGAACGGUCGAUUCAGAUCGAUCCCGUGCGGUGGAGACCCUCGAGGAUGGUGCGAACAUGGUCCUUGAGCCCCUAAUCAGAUGUGGUGCAGUUCCUAUUGGGGAGACCGUUGCUGCUAGUUCAAAAGGGUCCGGGCCCAGAGCUUUUCAGGGCCAGGAUUUUCCCUUUGGUGACAUCGAUGCCCUGGGUGGCCUUAAUUUGUGUCCUCAGUUCUCGUCUGGGGAGUUAAGGGACGCUCAGGACCCAAAUGUUGCCAACGUGGGGGGUCCUCUCAAGGGGGAGAUAAGCUUGGUAACUUCCUUGAUGACGUAGACGAUGUCAGCGAGGACAUCGAUAUCGAUGCUCCCAACUCUAUCGAGGCACCGGAGAAGUUCCAGUGGUAGGUGAUAGCUGAUCAUGUAUACUUUUCUACUCUCAAACAUAUUUCCUCAUUUUUCUGAAUCUCCUGCUUCUUUGUAGUGUAAGGACAUGUAUGAUCAUGCCUUCUUUAGGCUCCAAGAUAAGCUUUCAUGUUGUGGAAAUGAGCUCGAGAAGCUCACAUCUGGACUACAGGAGUCGGAGGCCUCCUUUGCCCAAAAGGAGAAGGAUUUAAGCAAGCUUCGGGCAAAUUUGGAGGGAGUGCUCCGAGAAAGGGCUGACCUUGCUGAGUAGGUAACUUGUUAGUCGUAAAUCCGUUCGUCGUUCUCAUAAUUCGAUGUUUACUGACUCAUCUUUUCCUUUGCAGAUCGGGCAGAAGAAUGUGGAAAUCCUCGAGCUGAGGAGGCAAAAUGAGGUAAUGACCUCGGAAUUUGCAUCGACCUAGGGUUUUCUCCAAAAUGCUCGAGAAGAAAUUACUACUCUAUCUGCGACCAUGUCCAAAGUCGAAGAAAAAGUUGCUACUUAGCUGAAAGACGCCGCUACUGUGAAUAAAAUAGCCCGAGAUAUAUCGGUGGAGGCCGAGCAAAAGCUGAUUCGGACUUUCACUCACGCUAGUGCGAAGGCGAGGAUGCAAGCCUUAGAGGAAGCCAGUGCUAAAGGUGCCAAUCUCUCAGCUGAGAUCGAGGAGGCCCGAGAGUCAGAGGAAGAAUUGGCGCUCUUAGUCGCUUGGGACAAAGGUCCCCGAGAUGGUUCAGAGGGUAGUGGCGAUGAAGAGUAGGCCUACAUCAUCCCUGGAGAUUCUACUAUUCUGGGCAAUCAUCCCUCUCAUAGAGCUUUUGUUCUUUGUGCUAGCUCUUUUGUCAUUUCAACUCACAGCCUUUGCCCAAAUCUUCAUCCUCUUCUUCCUAUUUUACCGUAGCCAUAGCUGCUACAUCAAAACCCGUUCAUCAAGGGGAGGAGAGUUUUGCCUCUAUUCCGUGUGCGAUCGAUGGCACACUACCGGUAUCCGGUGAGCUGACCUCGAGGUGCUUUGUCUCGAGGAGAGACUUCACGUUGGAGAGACCUACCAACAUUUAAGGGCAUCGGGAGCAUGCGUCGAGGUUCAUCUCCUCAAUAGGGGAGGGACACCUCGAGAUGAUUAGGAAAGACUACGGAUGGGGAGAAGGAGUGGUACUGCAAGUACCUUCCCUGGAGGAGAGCAUCAUGACCCAUGUCGAGGGGUUUUCGAGCGUGUAUACAUAUCCCAUUAUAUUGGGUCCCUCGACAGGGUCGUGCUUGAAUUUUGUAGGAGGUAUCAGGUUACCCUAGCGCAGGCUCACCCAUCCCUUUCGAAGAUAGUGCUGAUGAUAAGGUACUUUGCGGAUAAGGUCGUGCUCUAAUUCACCCUUAGCCAUCUCGUUAGGUUAUAUCAGCCUCUACAUUACCGGGGCUUGAUUAUUCUAUGACAUCGAUCCACCUGGUCCCCUGCCGUUAACGAAGAAGAGGACGAGGAUCGAGGGUGGAUGAGUGGUUUGUUCGAGCACGGACAAUCGAUAUUAUCCCUAGAGAGUUUUUGCCAUUUCCUGAGAAAUGGAAUUUCACACAUAAGUGGUAUACUUUUAUUUUUAUCGCUUUGUCCAUAGUGGAGGCAGGCUCCGUAAAGGCAUCUUUUCAUUUAAUUUUUUUAGCGAUUCCUUGGUUACCGAACGAGGUCCCUGAUCUAGCUGAAUGGUCUCGUAAGCUGGCAGCUUGCUCGACCUAUGAUAAGCACAAGUGACGAGACAUGUCCAAGGGGAGAUGGGAGGCAAAGCAUCAUGUUAGUUGUUUAGUGGAUUGUAUCCUCAGAAAGGUACUUUCUUUCUAGCGCACUAACUCUGCCACCGCAGGUGUUGGAGGUUUUUCCGAGAUGAGGUUGUGCCCCCUGGGGAGGAGGAGAGAUUGACAACCCCGGGGUCGAGGAUCUAUAAUAAACGGAAAGAGUCUUUGAGGAGUGAGGAUGCUCAUAACGGGGCAAGUACUCUUAUGAGGUUCAAAAGAUAUGAGUCGGCCGAGCUUCCAGCUUCGGAGGCUUCGAGGGACAAGGGUCAUGCGACACCUUCCUCUUCUCCUACCUAAGGCACUUCGGGGGAAACUAAGCCAUCAAACAUAGGCUCGACUCUAGUGAGGCUCACCGGCUUAGAUUUAUGGUAAGCUUUGGUAGCCGGUAUAGGCUUUUUUUGGUUUCACGCCCUCCCCUUCUUAUAGAGUUUUCUUUUACAGGCCUUUGAAAAGCUUAAGUCUGAGCUGCUUCGCUGUGAGGCCAUGCUGCGGAAAGCUUUGGAUGGGGAGAAAUCCCUUAGGCUCCUUUGUACGAAAAAGGAAGAUGAGCUGGUACUCCUGCGGUGCGAGGUGGAUCGAAGUCAGAACCACGAAAACCAUCUCGAAAAUUAGGUAACCUGCAUUUCGUGUCGGUGUAUGCUCCCCCUUCCACUUUUUGAGAUUAAUAUUUUGAUAUUUCAGUUGGAGAGCAAAAUAGAGCAGCUGGAACGACUUUGGGGCGAAGUUGGUUGGGUCAAACGCGAGUUUAACGAGUUGAAGGCUCUGGCAGAUGUCCAAGUUACGACCAAGGAGGAUGCUUUGUCUAAGGCUUCCGCCCUCGAGUUGCAACUCCGGAACGCUCGUGCAAACGAUUCUGUCCGAGCGAAUAUGAUUACAAGGCUCGAGUCUAAGCUUUUGAAGGUGAAGGCUGAGGUUGUGGAUGCUCGGGCCAAGGCUAUGAUGAGCCACACUAAGGCUGACCAAAAAGUGGCGGUCUAUUUGAGGUGUAAAUCUCGGAGGGAAACCCUCGAGGAAACUCAUGCCAGAGGCUUUGACCUAUCGGAAAAGAUAAAGUAGGCGAAGGUGGAAGAAUAUGAUGCUAAAUUCCUUCUGUCUGAUGCUGAGGAUAGCGAGGAUGAGGCCGACGGGUAUAGUCCCUAAGGAGGAUGUAGAUUUCAUUUCCAGUAUCUGUACAAAGUACUUUCAAAGUACGUUAUAAAUGGAGCUUGUAUUUUCUAUCAUAUAUGUAUAAAGGAAAACCUCACGGUUUCAUUUAUCCUGCAUUUCUUUUUGCCUUGAUUUCAGCCAGAUGAGCUGGUCAUUGAGUUAAAAGGAAUCCUUACAUUUGUGGUAUGGCCCUGGGCUCAUUAGGCUGGCCCGUAGGCUCUUACGUGCUUGGUCGAUACGACCUCUUAGUAUAAGCCGGCGUUCGAGCUCUUAUGCUUGUGCUCUUAGGCAUAUUUGGUCUACUAUUUUGGGUUCAGUCUCUGAGUCGGGUAUCGACUCGAGCUCAUUCGACCCUCAAGUUUUUGAAUUUCAAGCUGGCCCUUAGGUUCUUACGCGUUGGGUCAGUACGACCUUUUGUGUGGGCUGGCGACAGUGGCUCUUAUUCUUUGGGUCGAUGCGACCUUUUAUAUGGGCUGGCGAUAGUGGCUCUUAUGCUUUGGGUCGAUGCGACUUUUAAUAUAAGCUUUAUUUUUCCCUCGAUAAGGAUUUUUUGAAAUAAUGUUUGCUUGACUCUUCGACGGUUUGAUAGAAACCUCGAUUGUGAGUCAUUAUAUGGUGAUAAACAAGCCCCUUGUGAGGUUUGGCUCGGUGGCUGAGUAUCUUGAAGCCUGUAUUUAGGAGCUGACAUGGUCGAAGCUCUUUUGCCUAUGUCGAGGGUAGCCUGUUUAAUCAGUUCUUUUCGAAGGUAGCCUAUGUCGAGUAAUUGAAGGCCUGUGAUUUUAUAGCGACAGUCGGGCGUCCCCGAGUCAUGUUAGUUUGGAUGGUACAACCUUGUGACUGUAGUCAUUUGUGUUCUGCUAGAGCCUUUCAGUCCCGAGUGAAGUAGUUUCAACGUCUAUAUCGAGGGUAUACCUAUUUAGGGGUCUUACAAGUUCGAUAUAUAGCUUUACUUUGAGAUUGGGUUUAUGCCUUUAGUAAGAACUUACAAGUUUUACAUGCCUUUGAGGUCUUACAGUUUUGGAUACUUGGUACAAGUAUUGUUCAUUCCUUGCUUGAGGUCUUACAAAUAUUGUCACUUGGUACAAGUGUGGUUCAUGCCUUGCUUGAGGUAUUACAAAUAUUGUCACUUGGUACAAGUGUGGUUCAUGCCUUGCUUGAGGUCUUACAGAUAUUGUUGUUGCCUUGUAUAGGUGUUACGAGACCGAGGUUGCCCGCAUGUGGUCUUAUGACCUCGGGUUUUGAUAAGUCGAUGGAGAUAGUGAUUGACGGCAGUCCCCGAGUCAUCGAGGAUUUCUCGGCUCGAGAGACAUUACUUGUAAACUUGGUAUUGCCUCAUUAAGGGCUUACGAUUUCGGAGUUUCCGACCCGGAGGUCAUGUGGCCUUGAGUUUUCGAUGCCAGUCCCCGAGUGUUUGGACAUUUUUGGCUCUAGAGCUAUUUUGUGAUCUUGUUGUUGCCUCAUUAAGGGCUUACAAAUUUGAAGUUCCGACUCAGGGAUCAUAUUGUUUUGUGUGGUUUAUGCUAGUACCCGAGUGUUUGGUACGUUUUUGACAGAGGAAUCUUUUUUGCAAAAAUACCGAGUUUCUUUGAUUACUUGGUACAAGUAUACAUGUUUUUACUUUUACGGGCUUGGUUGUUCUAUGCGGACACGGUUCGUUCGACCGUUUAGCCAGGUACAUUAUUUUCCUAUCUAGACCCCACUUAGCGCAACUUAGCUUCUCCGAGUAGGUGACCUUCGAGGGGGAUGCCCCCUUGUAUUUGAGGUUUAAUGCAAAAGAAGCCUUGAAUACUUCUUGGGUCUUCCUUAGGUAGAUAUAGAUGUUGCCUCGUUAAAAACCUUGCCGGUAAAACCCUUCUUGGGAUAAAAAUCCGAUCGAAGGAAAAGAGUGCAACUCAUGCUUUUGAAACCUAAGGCCUUCGAGCUGGGAAGAGCUUCGGUUAUUUCGACCGGAUACCUGCAUUUAGGUUAGUAUAAAAUGUAACUGAAAAGGGGUUUAGCUAUACCUUAGUGCUGACGGUGCUUAGGAUCUUGAUGUGAUUCAAUUGCUUGUUAUGAGGACUCGGUACGGUCCUUUGUUUUGUUUAGUUGUGGUAGCCGAGAGUGUAGCUUCUUAUCGCUAUUUUACUGUUUGCUUAUCCUUUGGCUCCAUCGAGGCUGGAGGUACUAGUGUCGGCAUUACAUCGUGCACUGAGAACAUUUCUCUUGCCGUAUGUUCUUCCCCGUAGACGGUUUUAAUCCCAUCCUUUGUCGGGAAUUAAAUCAUUUGAUGGAGGGUGGAUGGCACUGCUCUCAUGCAGUUUAUCCAUAGCCUUCCGAGAAAGGCGUUGUACCUCAUAUCUCCUUUGAUGACAUGGAAUUUGGCAUUUUGGGUUGUGCCGUCCACGUUGACUGGGAGGACUCGAGAGGCGGGCACAAUUUGGUCAAGCAGUCUCAGCUGCUCUACCACCUUCGGCCUGAUAAUGUUGGCCGAGCUACCUGGAUCUACAAGUACACAUUUAAUUUGAAAUAUAUUUACAAGGAAAGAGAUUACCAGUGCAUCGUUGUGAGGUUGAGACAAGGUCUUGAUGUCAUUAUCGUUGAAUGUGAGAGCAUCUUUGGGUAUGUAACCCCGAGUUCGCUUUUCUCUGGUGAUGGAUAUUUUUGUUCUUCUCAUCAUGGGAUCAUGUGGGGCAUUGAUGCCUCCCAACAUCAUGUGGAUGACAUGUUGUGGCUCAUUUGGUUUGUUCUUCUUGGUCGCCUCUCUUUCCCGGAACUGAUUUUUGGCCCGGUCGUUGAGAAAUUCUUGGAGGUGACCUUUACUGAGUAGUCGGGCUACUUCUUCUCGGAGCUGGUGGCAAUCCUCGAUCUUUUGUCUGUGCGUGUUAUGAAAUUCACACACUAAGUUAUGAUUUCUUUGCUAAGGAUAUGAUUGCACAGGCCUGGGCCACCUGAUGUCUCUAAUUUUACUGAUGGCGAACACGAUGUCUGAUACGUCAACGUUGAAGUUGUAUUCCGACAAGCGAGGUGCCUCUGUUGGCCCUGUGUGCCUACCGAAUCUAGCUCUAUUGACGAGCCCCCAAGGAUUCUAGCCUCGGUCCAUCCUUCAAUCAUUGCGGGGCAUGUUGCGCCUCGGGGCAUUUCUCCUAUCUUCGGUGUAUGGCUGGUACCUUUCUUUGUUUGGCUUUGGCUCCUUCACCAAAAGCCUACUUGGGUAUAUCGAGCCCGAGAGGGCUCCUAGUUGGUCCUCCUCGACCCUAAUUUUCGAUUGAUAUCGGUUGUGAAUGUACGACCAGGUCACGAUGAGAUAUUCAACCAGAUUCUGUUUCAGCUGCUUCGAAGCCACUGAGCUUCGUUCAUUCAGACCUUGAGUGAAGGCCUGUACUGCCCAGUAGUCGAAGAAUAUUGGUAGUUCUAUUUGUUCUAAUUGAAAUCGAGAUACGAACUCUCGCAGCAUCUUAUUCUCCCUCUGCUUGAUCUUGAAGACGUCAGUUUUCCUUGUUGCUACUUUGAUGGCACCGACAUGUGCCUUUAUGAAAGAAUCUGCCAGCAUGGCAAAUGAGUCUAUAGAGUUAGGAGCUAGGUUGUGAUACCACAUCAUGUCCCCUUUCGACAGUGUUUCCCAUAAUUUCUUCAGUAAGACGGAUUCGAUCUCAUCGUACUUUAGGUCGUUUCCCUUCACUACGCAAGUGUAGGCAGUGACGUGCUCAUUGGGGUCCGAGAUUCCAUUGUACUUUGGAAGCUCGGGCAUUCUGAACUUCUUUUGAAUGGGUUUUGGGGCCGCUUCCUGCGGGAACGGAUUUUGCACGAACUUCGUCGAGUCUACCCCUUUUAGAAUCGGGGGUGCGCCUAGUAUUUGAUCGACCCUGGAAUUCUAGGUCUCCGUCUUCUUGUCGCUGGCUUCUAUCUACUUCUCGUCCGACUCGAUCCUCAUUGUGAGGUCCUCAAGCAUCUUUACGAUGGUGGGGUCGAUUGCCGACCCAUUGUUGCUUGAUCUCUCUGGUACCUGCUCGGCUGGGGGGGUCGUCCCCGGUUCUACCAUGCUGGGAGUUUUCUAGUGACUUUGCAGUUGAGCAAUCACCAGCUGUUGUGCCUGUAACAUUUCAAAAAUAACAUGAAGGUUAACCUCUCAUUCUUCCCUAGUUGGGGUUUUCUGAGCUUCUUGUUGGUCUCCUUGAUGCACGCUCCAGUUAAUGUGGGAGCACGUCGCGUGAGACUGCAUCCACGGGAAUUGGUUCUAGUGCGUUCUCAGGGUUUUGUGGUGGUACGCCAACACCUGGAACAUCCACACCAUUCUCUCCAUAGUUCUCAAGAUUGUUGUUGACUGAGUCAUACAUUUCGACCUGAAAUCAAAAAACUUGGGCAAGAAAAAGUGUGAAAGAUAACUUGCAUUGUGUAGUAAGACCAACAAGAAAAUAAUCACUAUUAUUUUUAGCCUCACGAUGGGCGCCAAACUGUUUACCGUGAAAAUGAUAAUUACAAUUAAAUCUGAUUUUGCGGUUCUAAAAAUACGUGAUCUAUUUUUGUUCUAGUUGUUUGGGCAAUAGAGGCUAAGUGAGGUACUUGGAAUCAAGAUAAGAGCUUAAAAACAAGAUGUUAAACAAACCGAAUAGCUAUCAAUCGGGGCCUCGAGUUUACUUAUUCGAGGCCUCGGGGUCGAGUCUGAUGUCCGCCGAGGGUGAUCGAGGGACGACUAACAGUUAUAAUCAAAUCAAUGAUGGCUCUUUAUCGCCAAUAAUAAGAAAUAAAUGAAAAUCCAUAAAUAGAACACAAUGGAUAUGAACAAUAAAUGCAAGUAAUGAGAUCAAGAGAAUAUGCUAGAGAGCAGAGAGAAUGUUCUUGUGUAUUUAGUAUUGAGCAACAUGUAUUUACAAAAGGACAAGUAUCCCCUUUAUAUAUAAGGGGGAAUCCCAACAUAGUACAUAUGCAUUAAUUAUAAAGAUAUGAAGAUGGUACAGCUAGUUAAUGCCUUGAUUUGUUUUUUGGACUUGUCCACUAGGCUUUGUCAGAUGUAUGUACGUGCCUUGGGAACUUCACCUUGAUCCAUCAAGACCACUAAUUUACAUUGCCUCGAGGCCGGUCGUUAUUCACACUACCGCGAAGUCGAUCACCGAGAACCCUCGGAGUCGAUCACUGAAAAUCCUCGAGAUGCCUUGAUGAUCGUAAAAUCAAACCGUUGAUUUCUACUAAUAACUAGGAUUUUUGUGGUAUAUUUUAGUCUGAAAAAGGUCCAAACACUUCAUAGCAUUGAAUACUCCAUUCCUUUGGAGCUUUUUAAGGAGAUUCUCUCACUUUUCUUCAUUGUAAGCUUUUAAUAUUUUCUUUCAUGCUUUAAAUAUUAGGAUUGUGGACCCAAAAUAGGUAUAAUAUUAAUGGGUGUUUACCAUUAAAUAUAAAUAUAUAAAUAUAUAUAUAUAUAUAUAUAUAUAAGGGGUUAUUGAUUUCUCUUCAUUUCUCAUGCUUCAUUCAUAGUUGGUGGUUGUAAAUAUUAAUUAAUGCCAUUUUACUUUAUCUUUCAGUUGAAAAAGUGUAUUAGGUUUUGUAGAAAAGAAUAGCAAGAACUCGAGGCUAUAAACCUUGUUUAAUAGAACCGCUUAUGAAUAAGUGGGUCCUACUUGGUAUAUAUUAGUUUCUCUUAAUUGUAACACUUUGGUAUUUGGAAAAUUCAUAAAGAGGAAAUUCAAUGUAAUUAUUGGAAAAUAUUGGGUAGUCACUUAGAAAUCAUUUGCACAUCAAAGGACUUUCCAUUAGAAAUGUAUCAUAUUAAAACUAUAACAUUACAUUCCAUGAAAGGGGACAUAACCUUUAUUUCUUAAUCCAGUAGUCAAAUCUCUUAACAAAAUAGCUUCUCUUCAUAGAUUACAAAGAUCAAACUCUUUCUAAACUAACGGGAUAAAAUUACGAUCUUAUUCAAGUAAUCUUUUGUUACACCCCACAUUUAAAUAAAGCGUGAAUUCUAGCGCGUCCAAUCAGCUGGAGACAUGUUUGAAGCCAGAAGGUGGUCACACGUUUCAGUAGGUCUGCACCAAGUGUCUCGCCGACAACCGGGGUGGGCGACGCAUUUUGCAUGUAGGAGCGGCGAAAAUUCCAAGGCUUGGUAUUAAUAUAAAAUGAUAGUAAGGCUCAUUUUUUUCAUUCUUAGAAGUAUCACUAGAACAAGUUCCCACAAAUACUGUCAACACACUUUUAGAAUUUCCUAUUGAAUUAAGGCAAAGUUGAAGGUGAAUAUGGAUUUGGCAAGAUUUAGGUUGAAGGAACUUGGAGUCGUUAUUGUAACCCGCCAUCGUCUGGUGACACUAAUUCUGAAGACUCGUUAAAGGCAAAGUUAAUCACCAUAGGAGUGUAAUUAGAUCUCCAACAAAAUAUGUGGGGGAAUCUUCUUUCUUGGCAUGAGUUAGCGUAAAUCUCUCAUUCUUUCUAAAUAACUCGUGUACCGAAGGUUUAGUAGUUCCAGGUCCUCUCAAUGAUAUUAUAUUGUUCUUGUGCAUUGUUGCUGGUAGCAUGUCUUAUAAAGUCUAUAUUAUUUCAGUUAGUAUAUCUCUUGAAACUGCUAUUAUAUUAGACUUCAAAUAAUGCAUGGCCCCAACGAGAGGCAUGGUUUUGCAAAGAUUUGGAUGCGUUUAUGAUCCAUGGUCUAUAGUUUUCCACAGUUUGAUCUAUGCCCCCCGACGGCUUGUCUUCGGUAUUUAGGUUGGAAUCACGUACUCACAUUUCUUAUGUUAUGACUCUGAUUUACUUGUGCUUCUUAGUCUUACAUAUUUAGUACAUGAUCCAUACUGACGCCCUUUCCUUUUUGGGUGUUGUGUUCAUGCCCAUAAGUACAAAUAGACUCGGUGACGCCCAUCCCAAGUAGGUUCAUGAUUCAGCUGUUGGUUGUUGCUCUCCACUUCUUCGCAGUAGUUGUUCAAAGGCCAAUAGAUACUGAAGCAGAUGUCAUAAACAUUUUGGGUACGAUGCGACCCUAUCCAGACCAAGUUGUGUAAUAUGUAUAGCUGUUCUGGGAAUCUUAGAGGCUUGCAAACUAGUGUUAGUAUUUGGUUGCAUGUAAUGGCUGGAUAUGACUAUGUUAGUCAUAGUGAUGAUCAUGUAUAAAACGCAUAUAUUGCUUUUGCUAAUUAGUUGUACUCAUUUUAAAUUUUGGUAGACGUUACUAGAAGGCCUCAAAGACCCAGUUUUUUAUGAAUAAAAGUAUGGAAGAUCACACAUGCAUCAGUUCCAUUUGCACCUCCCAAAGUUGGGGUGUGACAAACUUGGUUUCAGAGUAGGUCAUGUCCUCUACAAGCCGUAUUUAUUAGAGUCUUGUUUAUGGGUAUGUGGUGCACCAUACUUAUAAGCAGGAGGCUACAGGAGACGCAAAUCACUAGUUCAAAGACUAAAUGAAAAAGCAGGAGAAGGUACCAGCCAGGUGCCACCUGCCCUUAUGGGUCAACAUGGACCCCAUGAUGAGGUUGAAACUUAGGUUUUGGGGACAACACCACCACACCUGGAUCAUACUAGAGAAGUUUAUGCAUCCCCUAUUCCUCCGCUGGUUGUUCUCGAGCAACAUUUAGACAUGAGGAAUGUAGUGUAGCCUUUGACUUAAUUAGUGGCCUCUCAGGCCCAAUGUCAAAUCCCCGCCACCUCGGAUAGAGCGGUUAUCAGGAGAGUCCGAGAUUUUUUAAAUUUGUACACCCUGGUGUUUACCAUAAUAGAUCCCAACGAAGAUCUCCAGAAUUUUCUAGACCAAAUGCAGCGGACCUUAUGACUUAUGCAUGCCACCAAUACAGAGUCCAUAGAACUUGCCUCAUAUAGAUUGAGGGAUGUUGUUGUGACUUGGUAUGAGACGUGGGAGCAGUAUAGGGGACCUCUUACCCCACUGGGAUGGAAAGAGUUUUUUGAAGCCUUUCUGUAAGGGUAUUUGCCUAUUUAGCUCCACCGAGCUAAGCAUGAUAGAUUUUUACAGUUGGAACAAGGUAAUAUGAGUAUUCGGGAGUACAACAUGCAAUUUAACUCCUUGGCCAAAUAUGCUCUUUUAAUUGCAGCAGAGAUGAGUGAAAGAGUACAUCGAAUCGUGGGUGGACUAGGGCCACAUUUGAUUAAUGAAUGCACCACUACUUCUUUGAGUCUGAACUUGGACAUUAAUCUUAUCCGACGGUAAGUGCAACAUCACAGUUUUAAGAUCAGAUCCAUGGUCGGAUCACCUAUACUGGUCUGAGUUAGAAUCCACGGGGUCAGAGCUCGCAAUUUAGUAGAGGCCCUGGUAAGAUGAGGCCCCUGGUGCCGCAUUGUGGCAGGUGUGGUAGGAAUCAUUUUUGGCAUUGCCGUCAGGGUUCAGAUUUGUGCUAUUCUUGUGGGCAGCCCAGUCACAUCAUGCGUUUUUGCCCAGCAAGAAAUAUGGAUGGCGUGAUACCACCAACAGGAUUGACAACAAAUUAUUGAUUGAUAAUGCAUCCUCGUGAGCAAGGUAUACAGCCGCUGAUGGUAAGGGGUAGAGGUAGAAGUGGAAUGUCUAGCCCGAAUGUGCAACAGCAAAAUCAUAUUUAUGCAUUGUCAGGUCGUCAGAAUUAAGAGUCGUAACCCAAUGUGGUCAUAUGUAUACUAUCUAUAUUCUCCCCUAAUGUGUAUGCUCUGAUAGAUCUAGGAUCCACGUUGUCGUACAUUUCUCCAUUUGUGUCUAAUAACUGUGGUAAGAAACUUGAAUUGCUACAUCAACCAUCUGAAGUGUCCAUGCCCAUGGGUGAAUACGUGGUAGCUAGGCAGGUGUAUCAAGGUUAUGAUGUGAUGAUUCAUGAUCAAUAUACCUUGGCCUAUUUGAAUCAAUCGGAAAUGAUAGAGUUUGAUGUCACUGUAUACAGCGGAAAUCGAUGACUCGAUUUCAUGGCAUCUCGAGGGUUUCCAGUGAUUGACUCUGAGAAUUCUCGACAGUUACACUUCGAGACAGUAUGAGUAAUGAGUGGCCUCAAGGCAAUGGAAUUAACAGUCUCGGUGGAUCAGGGUGAAGUUCCCAAGGUAUAUACAUAUAGCUGGCUAAGUCUAGUGGUCUAGUCAGAAAAGCGAAUCAAUGCAUUAAAUGGUCGUACUAGCCCAUAUUUUUGUAAUUAAUGUAUUUGUACUAUGUUGGGAUUUCCCCUCUUAUAUAAAGGGUAUCCUUGUCAUUUUGUAAACAUUUGUUGCUCCAUACUGAAUAUACAAGAACAUUCUGUCUGCUCUCUAACAUAUUCUCUUGAUCUUAUUACUUCAUUUAUUGCUCGUAUUUAUUGUGAUUCUAUUCAUUGUUCGUCAUUUAUUGCUUAUUAUCGGCCAUAAAGAGCCUCCCUUGAUCUAUUUGUAACUGUUAUUCGCCAUCGACCGCCUUCGAUAGCUCCUAGCCGAGCUUCGGACUCGACCUCGAGGCCCUCGAAUAGGCAAGCUUGAGGCCCCAACCGAUAGCGAUUCGGUUUAACUAACACCUCAUUCUUAAGCUCUUAUCUCGUUUCUAAGUCUUUCACAUAACAUCUACUGCCUAACAACUGGCAUAAAAAUAGAUCACGUAUUUUUAGAACCACAAAAUUAAAUUUAAUUGUUAUUACCAUUUUCACGGUAAACAGUUUGGCGCCCACCGUGGGGCUUAAUAUAAUAGUGAUUAUUUUCUUGAAGGUUUAGCUACACAAGGCAAGUUAUCUUUCACGCUUUUUCUUGCCCAAGAUCUUUGAUUUCAGGUCAAAAUGUCCGACUCAGUGAACAACAAUCUUGAGAACCACGGAGAAAAUGGUGUAGAUGUUCGGGGUGCUAGUGUCCCACCACGAAACCCUGAGAACGCACCAGAAUCGAUUCUCGUGGACGCGGUCUCACGCGAUGCUCAACAUGUCGAUGUAAGCUCCCACACUAACAGGAACGUGCACCAAGGAGACUGACAAGAAGCUCAGGAAACCCCGGCUAAGGAAGAAUGGGAGGUUAACCUUCACGUUAUUUUUGAAAUGUUUCAGACACAACAGCUUAAGAUUGCUCAGCUACAAAGUCACCAAAAAACUCCCAGCACAGUUGCUCCGGGGACGGCUCUCCCGACCGAGCAGGUACUAGAGAGGUCAACCAACAAUGGGUCGGUAGCCAACCCCGCCAUCGUAAAGAUGCUCGAGGACCUCACAAAGAGGAUCGAAUCGGGCGAGAAGAAGAUAGAAGCCAAUGACAAAAAAGGUCGAGACGUACAACUCCAAGGUCGAUCAAAUUCCAGGCGCACCCCCGGUCCUGAAAGGUGUGGACUCAAAAAAAUUCAUACAAAGGUCGUUCCUAGAAGAAGCGGAUCCAAAACACAUUCCAAAGAAGUUCAGAAUGCCAGACCUUCAGAAAUACAACGGGACCUCAGACCCCAAUGAGCAUGUUACUGCUUACACUUGCGCAGUGAAGGGCAACGAUCUCAAGGACGAUGAGAUCGAGUCCGUAUUGUUAAAAAAGUUCGAGGAAACACUCUUGAAAGGGGCCAUGAUGUGGUAUCACAACCUAGCUCCUAACUCCAUAGACUCAUUUGCUAUGCUGGCAGAUUCUUUCAUAAAGGCCAUGCCGUCAAAGUAGCGACAAGGAAAUCUGACGUCUUCAAAAUCAAGCAGAGGGAGAACAAGAUACUGCGAGAGUCUUCGAAGCAACUGAAACAGAUCCUGGGCGAAUAUCCCGUCGUGACCUGGUCGGACGUUCACAAUCAAUAUCAAUCAAAAAUUAGGGCCGAGGACGACCAACUAGGAGCACCCUCGGCCUUGGUACACCCAAACAGGCCACCGACGAAGGAGCCAAAGCCAAGCAAAGAAAGGUACCAGUCAUACCCCGAAGACAAGAGGAACGCCCCAAGGCACAACAUACCCCGCAACGAUCGAAGGAUGGACCGAGGUCAGAAUCCUCGGGGACUCAUCAACAGAGCUGGCUUUGAUAGGUACACAGGGCCGACAGAGGCACCUUGCUUGUCAGAAUACAACUUCAACGUUGAUGUAUCGCACAUUGUGUUCGCCAUCAGUAAAAUCAGAGACACCAGCUGGCUAAGGCCCGUACAAUCAGAUCCUUCACAAAGGAACCAUAACUUAGUGUGUGAAUUUCACAAAAACACGGACACAUGACCGAAGAUUGUCGACAACUCCGGGAAGAGGUAGCCCGACUACUCGACAAAGGUCACCUCCGGGAAUUCCUCAACGAUUGAGCCAAAAAUCAGUUCCGGGAAAGAGAGGCGACCAAAAAGAACGAAGCAAAUGAGCCGCAACAUGUCACCCAUACGAUCUUUUAUGGUGUCAGUGUCGUGAAGAAACCACGGUCGGGAGAACGAAAAACAUCCCUCACCAGGAAGAGGAAAACUCGAGGCUCUAUCUCAGCCCCGUAACGACGCGCUGGUAACUUCUUUUCUUAUGGAUACAUUUCAAAUUAAACCUAUGCUUGUGGUUCCAGGUAGCUCGGCCAAUAUUAUCAGGUCAAAGGUAACAAAGCAGCUUGGACUACUCGACCAAACUAUGCCCUUCCCUCAAACCCUCAAUGAAUUUAACACGACAUCCACAAGGCAUAUUCUCGGUUGUUCUAAAUGAACAAAUAAAGGGCUGUACCGCACUCUUCGAGCAGAUAGCUAAAGGCCUACCGAGGUUCAAAGCGUCAUCGCCAACAAGGCCGAGCUUUUAUCCCGAAAAGGGUUUUACUGGCAAGGUUUUUAAUGAGGCAAUAUCCAUAUGCUACCUAAGGGAGACUCAACAAUUAUUAAGGGCUUCCUUUGCAAUCAACCUCGAAUACUGGGGGACAUCACCCCGGAAGGUCACCUACUUGGAGAAAGCCAAGACACAUCGAGUGCGGUCUCGAUAGGAAGAUAAUGUACCAGGCCAAACGGUCAAACGAACUGUGUCCGUAUAGAACAACUAAGCCCUUAAAUAGCAAAGAUAUGUAUACUUAAACCAAGUAAUCAAAGAAUACUUCACAAAAGCAUUUUGCGUGUCAAGAAAGCUCGACUUCUUUUGCAAAAAAAUGGCUCCAGAGACAAUAGACAAACCGAACAAUCGGGGAUUGGCAUCAACAACUCACAAAAUGUCUUAAGAGCCAAAAGAUGACCUGAACACUCGGGGACUGGCGUAAAAAACUCAAUACCAUAUUACCUUUGGGUCGGAAAUUCCAAAAUCGUAAGUCCUCAAUGAGGCAAUACCAAGCUUAGUAGUAAUGGAUCCCGAGUCGAGAAACCCUCGAUGGCUCGGGGACUACCGUCAAGCACCACCUCCAUUGACUUAUCAAAACCCGAGUUCAUAAGGCCACAUGUGGGCAGCCUCGGUCUCAUAAGACCUACAUAAAGAAACAGCAAUAUUUCUAAGAUCUCAAGCAAGGCGUGAACAAUACUUGUACUAAGUAUCCAAAACUGUAAGACUCAAAGGCAUGUAAAACUUGUAAGACCUUACUAAAGGGAUAAACCUGAUGUCAAAGUUUCAUCUAUAUAUCGAACUUGUAUGACCCAUAAAAAGGCAUACCCUUGAUAUAGAUGCCAAACCUACCUCACUCGGGACUUAAAGGCUACGGCCAAGCACAAAUGACUCCGGUCACAAGGUUGUACCAACCAAACUAACGCGACUCGGGGACACCCGACCGUCGCUAUAAAAUCAUAAGCCUUCAAUUACUUCGAAUAUACUUCGGAAAGAACCGGUUAAACAGGCUACCCUCGAUACAGGAAAAAGAGCUUCGACCAUGUUAGCUCCUAAAACACUGGCUUUAAGAUACUUAGCCUCCGAGCCAAACCUCCCGAGGUGCUCGAUCAUCGCCUUAUAAAGACUCACAAUCGAGGUUUUUUGAACCAUCGAAGAGUCAGGCAAAUAUUAUUUUAAAAAAUCCUUAUCGAGGGAAAAAUAAAGCCCUCAUAAAAGGUCGCAUCAACCCAAGGUGUAAGAGCCACUAUCGCCAGCCUGCAUACAGUAAAAGGUCGCAUCGACCAAAAGCUUAAGGGACGAUUGAGCUCGAGUCGUAACUCAAUUCGGAUAUUGAACCCAAAACAGCUAACUAAAUAUGCCUAAGGGCAAAAGCGUUUCGCCAACUUAAAAUUCAAAAACUUGAGGGUCGAAUGAGCUCGAGUCGUAACUCGAUUCAGAGAUUGAACCCAAAAUAGUUAACUAAAUAUGUCUAAGAGUAUAAGUGUGUAAAAGCCUACGGGCCAGCCCAAUGAGCCUCAAGGUCAUACCGUGAAUCUAAGGAUUCCCUUCAACUUAAAGACUAGUUCAUCUGGCUAAAAUCAAAACAAAAAGAAAUGCAGGAGAAACAAAACUGUGACGUUCCCCUCUUUAUACAUACACGCGAAAAAAUACAAGCUCUAUUUACAACAUACUUCGAAAGUACUAUGUACAGAAUCAAAAAAGGAAGUCUAUAUCCCCCUUUGGGACUAUGGCUCGUCGGCCUCAUCCUUGCUAUCCUCGGCAUCGGACAGAAGGAAUUUACCAUCAUAUUCUUCCUCCUUGGCCUGCUUGACCUCUUAGAAGAGGUCUAACUUGCAUGAAUUUCCUCGAGGGUUUCCUUCCGAUAUUUACACUUCACGUACUCUUUAAUAUUGUUAUCACGAUCGAGAGCUUCCCUCAGCUCAGCUCUAGCAUAGGCAACGCCCUUCAUAUAGGACGCAUGUAUAAAGUGAAACCGGAUUGUCUAAUUUCUCGCCAUUAAGGUGUAUUUGGGGUGUCAUAUCGAUAUCUCGAGGUUGCGGGAUUGCGGCCAAGUUCUCUCCCUCGAAAUCCAUUCACAUUUGACCCAGCAAUGACCCCUAGGGUAGGGAAUCCCCGAUGCGAGCAAAUGGCGCCAGUAGAGUCUAACAUCAUGUCUAGCCGUCCUAUAUCUGUGUCUUUACACUUAAUGCAUUCUGUACUAUGUUGUAUUCCUCCUCCUAUAUAAAGGGGAUCCUCACCACUUUGUAAAGGGCUGUUGUUGCUCCAACCGUUCUACACAAAAUCAAUAAUAUCUCUCUCUCUCUCUCUUUUCUCUCUAACUCACUCUCUCGAGGCUACUCUUUUCAUUUAUUUCUUUCAUAUUUGUUCUUCAUUUAUUGCUUGAUAUUGGCCAUAAACAACCUUCUUUAAUUAUAUCUUAAUUGUUAUCCCUUUCUCGGUUACUCCCGAUAGCUCGAGCUCGAGCCGAAUAUCGACCUCGAGGCCUUUUAUCGAUCAGUCUGAAGCCCAGGUAGAAAGCCCCUCGGUUUGAUUAUUGCCCCAUUCUAGCUUCUAUUUCGUCAUUAAACUUCAUAUGCAUAGCAUCAACUACUUUAACAACUAGCAUAAAAAUAGAUCACGUAUUUUUAGAGUCCCAUUUACAAAUUUGAUUGUUAUUACCAUAUUUACGGUAAACAGUUUGGCGCCCACCGUGGGGCUAAAAAUAAUAGUGAUUAUUUUCUUGAUGGUUUCAUUACACNNNNNNNNNNNNNNNNNNNNNNCUGGCUCGGUAAACAGAGUUGAGAAUGACUACCUUGAAAAUCACGGAGAAAAUCAGUCUGGUGCGCCACUGCAGAACCCCGAUAAUUCACCUGGACUGAUUCUAGCGAACGUGGGUUCGCAAGACAUGUAGCAGGUCGUCGAAACCUCACACACCGACAAAAGCAUACAACAUGGCAACCAAUAGGAAGCCCAGAAGACCCCGACUCGCGAAGUACAGGAAGUUAGUCUUCAUGAUAUUUUUGGAAUGUUGCAGGCACAAUAGUUGGCUAUCGCCCAGUUGCAAAGCCACCCGAAGACUCCCAGCACAGUAGCGCCGGAAACUAUCCCCCAACCGGACGGGUACCAGAGAGGUCAAGCAACAACAGAUCAGUAGUCGAUCCUACCAUCGUGAAAAUGCUGGAAGACCUUACCAAAAGGAUCGAGUCAGGCGAGAAAAUGAUAGCAGCCAACGAUAAGAAGGUCAAAACUUAUAACUUUUGAGUUGACCAAAUCCAAGGCGCGCCACCGGUACUGAAAGGUGUAGAUUCGAGGAAGUUCGUGCAACGGCCAUUCCCAAAGGAAGCGGCUCCGAAACCCAUUCCAAAGAAGUUCAGAAUGCCAGAACUCCCAAAAUACAAUGGGACCUAUGAUCCCAACAAACACGUCACAAAAGACGAUGAGAUCGAGUCCGUCUAACUGAAAAAGUUCGGAGAAAUGCUCUCGAAGGGGGCCAUGAUGUGGUACCACAACCUAGCGCCCAACUCCAUAGAUUCGUUUGCAAUGCUAGCAGAUUCCUUCGUAAGGGCGCACGCGGUGCUAUCAAGGUAGAAACAAGGAAGUCUGACGUAUUCAAGGUUAAGCAGAGGGAGAGCGAAAUGUUGCAAGAAUUCGUGUCUCGUUUCCAGAUAGAACGAAUGGAACUACCCCGGGUCUCUAAUGGCUGGGCAGUGCAGGACUUCACUCAAGGCCUGAAUGAAUAAAGAUCGGUGGCCUCAAGGCAGCUGAAAGAGAAUCUGAUCGAGUAUCCUGCCGUAACCUGGUCGGACGUCCACAAUUGAUACCAAUCAAAGAUCAGGGUAGAGGAAGACCAGCUGGGAUCCCCCUCGAGCUCAGUAUAUCCGAGCAUACUCUUAGAGAAGGAGUCAAGAUCGAAUAAAGAGAGGUACCAGUCGUACCCCGAUGAUAGGAGGAAUGCUCCAAGAUGCAACCCGCCUCGCAACGAUCGAUUGGUGAACAGAGGACAGAACCCUCGGGGACCCCUCAAUAGAGGUGCCUUAGACGGGGACACAGGGCCAACGGGGGCACCUCACCUAUCAGAAUACAACUUCAACGUCGAUAUAUUGGACAUCGUGUUCGCCAUUAGCAAAAUCAGGGACGCCAGAUGGCCCAGGACUAUACACUCGGAUACUUCCCAAAGAAACUACAACUUGAUUUGCGAGUUUCACAACUCGCACGGGCACAGAACCGAGGAUUGCAGGCAACUCCGAGAGGAAGUGGCCCGACUGCUCGACAACGGGGACCUUCGGGAAUUUCUCAUUAACCGGGCUAAAAACCAGUCCCGAGAAAGAGAAACAACCAAAAAGAACAAAGCAGACAAGGCCCAACACGUCAUCCACAUGAUUUUUUGAUGCUUGCUCCCGGACGUAUUCAAAUAAAGAACUACAUAACAUCCGCCAAACGAAUGCCGGAACCCGAAAGCGCCAUCGCCACUAAGAUAUAAUCACCUCUCCCUUUCUCUAUGUUUUACUUCAUGCUAACUCUUGUGCAGGCCAUCGACCAAGGCAGUCGGGACGCCACUCUGGCUCGAGGACCCUGAGGUUUCAAAGCCUCCGCUGCACUCUUUUCCUUUGACCGUUUUUUAUCCUGAAAUGGGUUUUUGCUGGUAAGGUUUUUAAUGAGGCAACGUCCACACACUUCCUAAGAAGGAUACAAUAGGCCUACCGAAUUUUCUUCACAAUCAACCCUGUACCGGGAAAUGACAAAUAAGGUUCCAAUAGGAAACGGUAUACCGGGACAAACGGUCAAAUGAACCGUGUCUGCACAAGCCGGGCUUACGGCAACACAAUGACAUGUAUUUACGCCAAGCAAUCAAAGAAUAUCUUUCGCCUAAAGCAUCUCAUACUCCAUGACCUCAGGGUCGAAACUUCGUGCUCAUAAGGCCCCAACGAGGUAAUUCUAAGCUCACGAGUAACGGCCUUCAAGACUAAGCAAACUCGAUGACUCAAAGACUGUCGUCAAUUUCCAUUCAUUGGAAAACCCGAGGCCGUAAGACCUCGAGCGGGCAAACUCGGUCUAGCCAGAUAUAUUUUACAUAAAAACAAAAAAUGGUAAGACCUCAACAGGCAUGAAAAAACUGUAAGACCUCAACAGGUAUGAAAAAAUUGUAAGACCUCAACGGCAUGACAAAACUAUAAGACCUAAACAGGCAUGAAAAAACUGUAAGACCUCAACGGCAUGACAAAACUGUAAGACCUAAACAGGCAUGAAAAUUUUGUAAGACUUUACCACAGGCAUAAAACUCGAUCCCAAAGUUUAUGCUAUAUGUCGCAUUUGUAAGACUCCCGAAAGGGCAUACCCUCAAUGUAGACGCCUAAACUGCCACACUCAGGAUCACAAAUGGCUUCGGCCAAACACAAAUGACUACGGUCAAUACGGCCGCACCAGUCAAANNNNNNNNNNNNNNNNNNNNNNNNNUUAACAAGGGAAAAGCAAAGCCUACAUAUGCCUAAGGGAAAAAGCGUAAGAUCCAUAGUCUCCAGCCAAACGAGCCUCAGGGCCACACACUAAAAUGAGGUCGAGUCGUAACCCGAUUCGGAGACCAGAUCCGAAAUAGUUAACUACACAUGCCUAAGGGCAUAGCAUAAGAGCCAUCGUCACCAGCUCCACAAGCCUCAGGGCCACAUACAUAAUAGGUCACUUCAACCCAAGGCGUAAGAGCCAUUGUCGCCAGCCCUUGCAGACGUAAAACUUGAGGGUCGAUUGAGCUCGAGUCGGAGCCCGACUCGGAGACUGAACCCAAAAAUGGUUAAAAUGAGCACGCCCAAGGGCAAAAGAUAAAAGCCGUUGUCGCCGGCCUAACGAACAUCAGGGCCAUAUUACAGGUUUGGAUAUUUCUACCAAUCUAAAGGUCGAAUAGACCCGAUUGAGAUCUUGACAAAUAGAAAUACAGAAGAUACAAAUUGCGAGCUUCCCUCUCUUAUUUUUACAUAUAGGCGGUGAAACGCAAGCUCAGUCUACAACAUAUUAUGGAAGCUAUGUACACAAGAAGGAGGCAGGGAAUAAACGUUCCCGCCUUCGGCAACUAUAGCCCAGCGGCUCCCUCCUCACCAUCUUCAACAUCGGACAGAAGGAACUUGGCACCAUACUCCUCCCCUUUGGCUUGCUCGAUUUCCCCCGAGAGAUCGAAGCCCCUGGCAUGAAUAUCCUCGAGGACUUCCCUUCGGGAUCUGCACCUCGCAUACUCCUUGCUAUUGCUUGCAAGAUCAAGGGCUCUCUUCAGCUCAACUUUAGAAGCGAGAGCACUCUUUGAAUAGGCCGCCACUUUUUGUCCCGCCCUAGUAUUACUCAUCACAACCUCGGCCCAAACAUUCACCACCUCGGUCUUCGCGUUUAAAAGCUCAGACGAAAGCCUUGCGAUCAUGUUCGCCUGAGCAAAAUCGUUCACACGAACGGUCUGGAUUUGUGCCUCAAGAGCGGAAACCUUGGCUUGAGCCCUCUCUUUGGCGACAAAAUGGGCACUUACAUGCACCCGCAGCUUGUUGAAUUUGCAUUUGGCUCGGCCAACCUCACCCUAGACCUGUCCUAGCUCAUUCGCCUUAUCCUCCAACUGAAACAUCGAAACAUCAGGAUGCGAAGACAGAAAGGGAGUGCAAGCCAGCAUAAAGUACAGGGUACCUGUUUCUCCAGGCGGAUCUCAUGGCUCCGGCUCUGGUCCACCUCACGCCAUAAGGAAACCAGCUCGCUUUCCUUCGCCUCACAAAGAAGCUUGAGGGAUUUCUCCCUAUUCAAAGCCUUCCACAACGGGGCCUCGCUAUGAAGCAGCUCGAAUUUAAGCUUGUCAAAGGCCUGUGAAAGAAAGCUAAAUAAAGAAAGAGAAAAGGGGAAAAAGAAAAGCAAGGGGCUGGAAUAAUCUUACAGCAGUCAAAACUCACCAUAAGGCCAAACCGAGAUGCCUCGCCGAAGGCCGAAACAACGUCCAAUGGCGUACCACUCCCAAAAGAUGGUCGAUCGACCGAAUAGCUUCUCCUUAACUGCUGAGAGGGAGUCGCCUCACUACAAGCCUUCUUUCACCCCGGAGCAUCUUUUCUUUUGUCAACACUCCUUGAUCCCGAGGCCAGCAAUCUCUCCUCCUCCCCCGGAGGACACGACCUUAUUUCGAAAGAACCCCCGGAACCAGCGACAGUUGAAUCAAAUAAGCUGGCAAGAAAAGCGCCAUUUUUUAGGAGACAGAGCACUGAGCACCUACCACGAUGCUUCGCCUCCCAUCUCCCUUUGGACAGAUCUCACCAUCGGCGCCUAUCAUAAAUCGAGCAAGCUGCUAGCUUACGAGACAACUCGGAUAAAUUAGGGACCUCGCUCGGUGACCAAUGGGUUGCUACAAAUAAGGAACAGAAGGAUAUCAUUACGGAGCCUGCCUUCGGUCAAAAUGAUGAUAGUUCAUAUGAGGCACUUACGUGUAAAGUUCCAUUUUUCAAGAAAUGGCAAAAAUUCUCUAGGAAUGACAUCGGUCUUUCGAAUCUGAAUGAAUCCAUUCAUCCAUUAUCGUCCUUAUCCUCCUCACUACCAACCACAUGAGCUCGGGUGGAUCUACGCUGAAGAUCAAUUAGACCCCGGUAACGCAGUGGCCGAUAUAACCUCAUGAGAUGGCUGAGGGUAAACUCUAUCCCGGCCUUAUCGGAAAAAUAUCUCAUCGCCUGCACUAUUUUCCAAAGGGAGGGAUGAGCCUGCGCUAGUGUAACCCGAUAUCUCCGACAGGAAUUGAGCACGACCCGGUCGGGGAAACCCGGCACAAAAACAUGCGUGUAUACGCUCAAAAAUACCUCAACAUAUGUCAUAACGCUCUCCUCGGGAGAAGGUACUUGUAAUAUCACGUCUUCUCCCAUCCGCAAUAUUUUCUAAUCAUCUCGAGAUUUUCCUCUCCCAUUGAUGAAAUGAUCCUCGACACAUGCUUCCGGUGGCCCGGAACAUUGGAAGGUUUCCUCGACGUGACAGCUCUCCCCGAGGCAGGGCAUCUCGAGCAUCGCUCACUUGACAUCGAAGGUGAGCUGCUGGCGCCAAACGAAUGCAGACACAGGAGGAGCUUUCCUCCACCGACGAUCGGAUGUUGACGUAGCAGUCAUGGCUACGGUAAAAUAAGAGGGGAAAGAUGAGGGUCUGAGCAAAAAAAAAUCUUCUUGAAAUAGGGGAGCGGAAGAACUAGAACAAAGCGCUAGGCUCUGCGAAAGAGAUAGCCUUUCAAAGCAGCAAAUUCACCGUUGGAAAGAUGGAUGAAUGAAUAUAUAGGGGCUAAGCAACAACUUCCCACCUACCCAAGAGGCCAAUUAAUUCUAGUCGCGUUAACGUCACCCUCUCCUAGGGAAACGUACUUGCGAAAUUAUCCCUGGGCCAUUUUUAUUGGAUCAUACAAAUAUUGUUACCCCACGAGGCCUCGAGAAGCUCCCUGACAUCACGAGCAUCGAUCCUAGAGAGGCUGUCAAUUUAACCUUGGGGCAUGGCCAAUUUCUAGAUCCCAGUUGCUUUGAGAACAGGUCCCGAAAGGCCAAUGUUGAGAGUCAUGAGCUAAAUCGCGAAAGCAAAUGGGCAAAGAAAGAAGAGACUGAAGAAAGCUGACAGGAGGAAAACCCCUUUUUUUUACAUUGCCAAAAUAUGUAUUCACAAAAAACAUCUUUACACAACCCAUCCCCCGGGGGCCGUAUACAAAGGGAAAGGGAAGGGAUAGAAAAUGACUCAGAGGCUACUCCCCAUCGCUAUUAUCUUUGCCCUCAUCGGGGGCAAUUAAAAGCGCCAACUCUUCCUCCAAUUUGCAGGCUUCCUUGAGAUCAGCUGAUAGGUUGAUACCUCUGGCUCUGAUGUCCUCAAAGGUCUCUCUCCUCGCCUCCGCCUUAGCAUGCUUAAUAGCUCGGGUUAAUUUCUUCCCAGCUGCUAUUGAUAUGUCACGAGCUAUUCUAUGCGUCGUGGCUGCAUCCUCCAGAUAAGUGGCGGCAUUUCGUUUAGCCUCGGACUUGGCUGCGGCCAAAGCAACAACCUCCUUGCGAGCAUCCUUGAUAAGAUCCCGAGAUAUCGCCAAAUCACCAGCCACAAAACAAAGGUGAACCAAUUUAUGUCGGAACACGGGAAUAGAAGUCGGGUACAAGCAAGGCAAAAUACCCGUGCGGUAAGGUCAAACUUUUCAAGAAGCGCCGUUUCCAAAGCAACUCGGGCCUCUCCUAGUUCCUUCCCUCCCUGGGCAAAGCGAACCUCCGAAUCCUGCAGCAUCGAGGUAGCUUUCUUACACUCUUUUUCAUGAUAAGAAAGCUCCUUGCAGAGUUGAAGGAUGGCAUGAUCGUACGUCUCCUUGCACUGCGGUAUAACAGAUAAGUUAGAAAGACAAGGGAUGACGUUUGAGGAUAAAAGAAAUACACGAGAAAUGGCUAUCACCUGCUGCAUGAAUUUCUCCGCCGCUUUACGGCGCUAGGAAUAUCAAGAUCGGCACUAUCACUAACACCAUUAAAGAUGUUGGCAAUAGAGCCUCCCCCUUAGAGAGGAAUCCCUGAUUUGAUGCCAACCACUUUUUAAGCGCUCUGUAGUUCCCCUGACGAGACCUAGAAGCAUGAGAGGAAGUCGUUUAGGUCGCCGACUUCUCCAGAAAGCAACCCAUGCUCUUGAAAGGCUUCGCCCCCGACCCUUUAGGAUCAAUGGCAGUGGUCCCCCCGGCAGAAACUACAUUGAAUCCAGUUGCGCGAUUUGAAGCUACUUUAACACCGUCUUCAAGGGUCUCCGGCUCGCGAGAUCGACCGGAGUCAACCGUUCCGGACUCAGUAGCCUUCGAUCGAGGCACCUAUGAUGCUCUCGCAUUCGACCCCGUCCUCCGCACUAACGCAUGUUCAUCAUCAUUAUCACCCUCUUCCUCGGUGUCAAGAUUUGCCCCUGAAGUCGAAGUAGAGGUCCCGGCAGCGGCUCAGUGCUCGAAGUGACCCAAAUUUCUUUGCCACAUGAAGGACAACAACUGCCUUGCUUUACAUCUUCUUGCUCAUGUCAGGCUCCAAAUCCCCUGGCCUCAUCAGCAUAUUCUCGCCAAGACCUGCAUAAGUGCGGUAACCGCAAUAUGUCACCACCAAGGGCGUGGGGGGAAACACAAACAUAAGACAUAGGCGGUAAGGAAACUCUAUCGUGAUUCUUGGCCACCCAUCGCCCCUUGGCCAGGUCGGUCCAAGACCGAACAAAAUAUGGGAACUUCUCGUCCAACCGCUUGAUCCAUCCCGACAAAUCUAGAACUGCCUCGGGGUACCAAGCAGCGGCUGCAGGAAGCCCAAUGAGAUUGUUAUUUCAAAAAGAAGAAUAGUUGAAAAGCGGUUAAGGGAAAAUUGCUUACGUUGGGUGUUCCACCCCUCCAGAAAGGGCAUCCUCUGGGCCGGGAUGAUAUCCGAGGUCUUUACUCGGAUAAACCUUCUCAUCCAUCCUCGAUCCUUUCCCACAUCGGCGCUCAAGAAAAAUGAUUUUUUGGAUCGAUGAUGGAGCCUGAUUAAACCUCGAUAAAAUCAAGGGUUGUACAUCCUGAUUAUAUGAUUGAGGGUAAAGAUCUCACUCUCAACCCUUUCGAUUAAAUGGCAAAACAUCAAUAUUAUCCUCCAAAAAGAAGGGUAGAUCUGACCAAGCGUCACUUGGUAUCGGUCGCAGAAGUCAAGGAUAACUGGGUCUAUCUCCGGGGGAGACGACUAGGAAGAAUUAUAGGGACCCAGGGUAAAUGGGUAGGUGUACACGUAAAGAAAGCCGAACUUAUGAUUCGUUAUAUUAUCAUUGGGACUGGGAAUCUCCACCCCCACUGCUUCGCUCCAUCGGCAGUCCGUCCUCACCGUGCUAAUAUUGAUCACGAUGCUAACAUAUCGGGACAUAUGCUCACACCGGCCCGGUGUAGAUGAAGUGGCAUCGACAUUAAAAUCCUUUGACAUAUAGAGAUUAGGUGGGGUACACUAUUCAAAAGAAGGAAUCGCUCUCGUUUCCUCCUUAGAUGAUCGAGAUGAUGAUGCAGCGUCGUUCCGCCGAGGAACUGUUCUAGAAGUCCUAGCCAUGUCAAUAGAAAAAAAUUUCUCUAAAAAAAAGAUAGAAGAAUGGAAGAGGCAAAGAGUACUGACUCGUGAAUUUGGAGAUGGGGUGAAAGUAAGAAGUAUCAAACAGUCGAUGCAUUUAUAGGAACCACCUGGGCGGCAGAAAGGAUGAGCCAAUGGCAGUUCGUGGGUUCCUCGAUUAUCGCAUUUGACGACGACCUUUGUAUGGUUUUCUGGAAUAUGGCAUUUAAUGCUCUUAUCGGUUGACGUCACGACAAUCAUGACCUCGAGACGACGGUUCAAAAUCGUUUCCUAUUACUUCAUUCUAGGAAAUGCAGAGACUAGCUGUAUAUGGUGAAAUUGAAGGGUCCCAUUUCUCACCAUUAAGGUGUAUUUGGGGAGUCAUAUCGAUAUCUCGAGGCUGUGGGAUUGCGGCCAAGUUCUCCCCCUCGAAUUUCAUUCACGUUCGACCCAGUAAUGACCCCGAGGGUGGGGAAUCCCCGAGGCGAGCAAAUGGCGUCAGUAGAGUCUGACAUCAUGUCUAGCCAUCCCAUCUCCGUGUCUUUAAACUUAAUGCAUUCUGUACUAUGUUGUAUUCCCCUUCCUAUAUAAAGGGGAUCCUCACCACUUUGUAAAGGGUUGUUGUUUCUUCAACCGUUCUACACAAAAUCAAUAAUAUAUGUCUCUCUCUCUCUCUUUUCUCUCUAACUCACUCUCUCGAGGCUACUCUUUCCAUUUAUUGCUUUCAUACUUGUUCUUCAUUUAUUGCUUAAUAUUGGCCAUAAAGAGCCUUCUUUAAUCAUAUCUUAACUGUUAUCCCCUUCUCGGUUACUCCGGAUAGCUCGAGCUCGAGCCAGAUAUUGACCUCGAGCCAGAUAUCGACCUCGAGGCCUUUCAUCAUUCAGUCUGAAGCCCAGGUAGCAAGCCCCUCGGUUUGAUUAUUGCCUAAUUCUAACUUGUAUUUCGUCAUUAAACGUCAUACGCCUAGCAUCAACUGCUCUAGCAACUCGCAUAAAACUAGAUCACGUAUUUUUAGAGUUCCAUUUACAAAUUUAAUUAUUAUUACCAUUUUCACGGAAACAAUGCCACUUUCUGGUCUGCCCUAGUGCGACUUAUUACGGCCUCGGCUCGGGCAUUCACCACCUCAUCCUUCGCCUUCAAAAGCUCGGACUCGAGCCUUGUGAUCAUAUUCGCUCGGACAAAAUAAUUUGCGUGAGCGUUCCGAAUUACCUCGAGGGCAGAAGCCUUAGCCAAAGCAUCCUCCUUAGCCGCAACUUGGGCAUCUACUCGAGACUUUAACUCGUCAAGCUCACAUUCGGCCCGGACAACUUCGCCCCAAAGACGUUCCAUCUCCUCCGUUUUGCUCUCCAACUGAAAUAUCGAAACAUUAAUCUCCGAAAAUGAAUGGGGGCAUACAUCAACCUGAAAUACAGGUUACCUGUCUUUUGAGACGGCUUUCGCAGUUCUGAAUUCUAUCCACCUCACACCGCAGGUAUACCACCUCACCUUCCUUUCUCUCACAAAGGAGCCUAAUGGAUGUCUCCCUAUCCAAAGCUUUCCGCAGCCUGGCCUCAUGGCGAAGAAGCUCGAACUUAAUCAUGUCAAAGGCCUACAAAGGAAAAUUUAAUAAGAAAGGAAGGGCACGAAACCGAUAUAAGCAUAUACCGGCUACCGAAGCUCACCAUAAAGCCAAGCUGAUGAGCCUCACCAAUGUCCAAUGGCCUAGUAUCCCCCAAAGCGCCUUUGGUAGAAAAAGAGGGAGGCUCCGUAUGACUCGCACUCCUUGAAAUACCUUCAACGGGAACGAGAAAUGAUCUUUCAGAAAUAGAGGCCUCCGAAGUCGGAAGAUCGGCUGAAUCGCCUCUUUUGAACCUCAGAAAAGGAUUUGCCCCACCGUGAGCAUCCUCACACCUCGGAGAUUCUUUCUAUUUAUUGUCAACCCUUGACCCCGAGGUCGGAAGUCUUUCCUCCUCCUCCAGGGGGCACGGUCUCAUCUCGGAAAAAUCUCCAACACCUGCGGCGAUAGAAUUAGUGCGCUAAACAGGAAGGUACCUUUCUGAGGAAAUAAGCCACUAAACGCCUACCGUGAUGCUUUGCCUCCCAUCUCCCCCCGGACAGGUCUCGCCACCUGCGCUUAACAUAGGUCGAACAAGCUUCCAUCUUGCGGGACCACUCAGCCAGAUUAGGGAUCUCAUUCGGCAACCAAGGAAUCGCUACAAAGAAUAAGAUAGAAAGACGCCUUUAUGGAGUCCUCCCUCGCUAUGGACAAAGCGAUAAAAAUACAAGUAUGCCACUUAAUUGUGAAAUUCCAUUUCUUAGGAAAUGGUAAGAACUCUCCAAGGAUAAUGUCGACAGUCCGUGCUCGAAGGAACUGGCUCAUCCACCCCCGGUCCUCGUCCUCUUCGUUGUUAAUGGCAGGGGACCGAGUGGAUCGAUGCCGCAGGGUAAUCAAGCCCCGAUAAUACAGCGGCCGAUAUAACCUAACGAGAUGGCUGAGGGUGAAUUCAAGCUCGGCCUUAUCCAAAAAGUACCUUAUCAUCAGUACUAUAUUCCAGAGGGAUGGAUGAACCUGAGCCAAGGUAACCUGAUAUCUCCUACAAAACUCAAGCACGACCCUGUGAAGGGGACCCGAUGUAAAAGGAUAUGUGUACAUGCUCAAAAACCUCUCGACAUGGGUCAUGAUAUUCUCCUCGGGGGAAGGUACCUGUAGUACUACUCCUUCUCCCUAUCCGCAAUCUUUUCUAAUCAUCUCGAGGUGUUCCACCCUUAUUGAGGAGAUGAACCUCGAUACGUGCUCCCUAUGCCCUUGAAUGUUGGAAGGUCUCUCCAACGUAAAGUCUCUCCUAGAGACAAAGCACCUCGAAGCUCACUCACCGGGUACCGGCGGUGUACUACCGACUGGACAUACAACAGAGGUAGAACUCCCCUCUCUUUGACGGGAGGAUGUCGAUGUAGCAUCUAUGGCUACGGUAAAAUAGGAUGAGGAUGAUGAAUGUUUGGGCCAAGGGUUCAAGCCAAAACGACGAAAGAACUAGCACAAAGAACAAAUCUCCAUGGAAGAAAUAGUUACUUUGAAUAGCAGAAUCUCCAUUUGAGAAGUAAGCGAGUGAAUAUAUAAAGGCAGGCAAUGACUGCUCGCUACCCAGAGGACCAAUUAAUUCUGGCCAUGACUGUAGACAUGUGACUUUUGACCCUCCCCGAGAUUUUACAUAUUUUAGCAUAUAAAUAUUUAGUAGAUCUAGUAUCGAUAUUUUAUCUAGUUUUGACCCUUUUACUUUAUUUUAUCACAAAAAUAAAAAUUACAAAAAUAUUUUCUUUUAUUUAGCUAAUUAAUAUUUUAUCUAGUUACUUUUAAUUUAUCUACUUUACAUAAAAUUCAAAAAAUACAAAAAUAGUUCCACUUUAUUUUUAGGAAUAUUAUUUUAAUGAUUUUAAUCUAAUUCCAUUUUUAUCUUUUAGUAUAAUAUUUGAAAAAUACCAAAAAAUAGGUUUGUUUUAAUGGUUAGUAUUAUUUUAAUAGUUAUUUUACUUAAGUAAGAUUGAUUGGUAAAUAAGGUCGUAUUUUUAGUCUUGUUCACAGAGAACCAUUUUUGGACCUAGCCCAUAAUAACUCAAGCCCAAUACCCUUAAAACCCUAGACUUAGACUUAAAAGGACCCCUAACCUAAGGAGAGAACCUAGACCAAUCAGCCAUUUUCUGAUUUUAGACCCUUAAUCAGCCACAAUAGACCUAGAAAACUCUACAGAUCAGCAGCUAGAAGAGAAGAGCUAACACAGAAGAGAGCAAUGGCGGAGCUCUCUUGAAAAGGACCCCCCUAUCAACUCAUCUUCUUCUUCAGAGAAGAAGAGCCAAUUUCCAUGGCUUCUUCUUAACCAAACCAAAGAUCCUUGCUCUCUUCAAACACACAAACAGCUGUUCCCCCUCGUCUUCAAAUUCCUCUCUCUAUCGUUUCACCUCCAUCGCCGGCGAGAUUCACUGGAAACCGGCGAAAACUAACCCCAUAACCAGUCAGUUUGCUAUUCGAUUCUCUGAGCUUCAGAACUAUUUGUUACGCAAAGCUUCAGUUUAUUCUCAUAUCGGAACUCAUGGAGGGGAACUGCUCGAUUUUGUUUUGAAGUCGAGCGUUCCAGUCCAAAGUCAAAGAAUCGAGUCGAGGUGUCCGUUGUAGCCGAGUUCGAAGUACUUUGGUCGAGUUUCAUUGAGAUUCUGGCGAGGCAUUUCGUUUUUCUGUUUGAGGUUCACAUUUGCUCGCCGAUUCGAGAAUAGUUAGAGCUGUAGAGAUCCAAUCGCUUAUCUUGUUUGCUUUAUCGGUGUAGUGUUCCAUAUAAAUGAUAUGUAUUAAUAUGGCUCCUGCUUGGAUCUGUUCUCCUGUUGUUUUAGCCUAAUUUUUCUUAGUUGUUAAUUCUUACCAUUAAGUUUAUUGGUUCUGGUUGUUGAGUGAAAAUAGCCCUACUAAACUGCUGAAAUCUCUAGCUAACUGGUAGCUAAUGCAGUCGUACCUUAGUUCAAGAUAAUUUUGUUAGUAAAUCCUUUUUUGUAUAAGACGUUUUCCUUAAGAAACCCAUUAGAAAGAGGGCAAGUUUAUUGAAGAAUCUUGAUUUAAUUAAUACAAUUUCCUCUUCUACUUUCCUGCACUUGAAAAUGACCGAAGAAUUAAACUUGAAAAAUGAGGAUAAGCGAUGGUCACAGUAAUGCAUUUGGUCUUAAGGUUUGGUAUUGUAAAAUUUGUUUUCCUUUAUCAGAUAUUUCAUCAAGUUUAGUUAGUUCCUAGCUUUAGUUUUAUCAUUUGGUCGAAUUAUUUUCUAAUGUUGGCUUAACUGUUUUAUAAAUUUUUUAUCAAUCCUUCAAUAAUCCUCUUCCUCUAUUGACGUGUAAUCAGUACUAGAUAAAAUGUUCCCAUAACUCUUGGGUCUCUCAAUAAUCUUGGCUUAGGAAAUACAUAACGCAUAAAUCGAUAGUAUGCUUUAGGCACGUAUUAAUAAAUAAUUAUCGUGAUUGUGUACAUGUUCGCGUGACAUAAUUACGAUCUAAAAAAUAAAAUGGGGGUAUGCGUUUCGCGCAACUUCGGCCAAACUUUCUUAAUAUUAAUAAAGCGUUAUUAAUAGUGAACACGUUCACGUGAAAUUUUUUUUUGACGCGCCAAACAAAUGAGUACACGUGCGCGUGACCUAUUUUAAGAUAACAUCUUAAUUAAAAGAGGAAAAUGCACAUAGUUUCUAAAAUGAGUAAUUAGACAAUUUGAUUAAGCCAAGUAUGAUCAAAGCGACCGUGCUAAAACUACGUAAUCCGAGAAUGCCUAACACCUUCUCCCGGGUUAGCAGAAAUCCUUACUCAGAUUUUUGUGUUCGCAGACCAUAAAUAGAGUCAAACUUCCUCGAUUCGUGAUUUUAAACCGGUGACUUGGGACAUCAUAAAUUAUCCCAAAUGACGACUUUGAAUUUUAACUAAAAUAAUCGUGUUUCGAUUGUCACUUUAAUUGGAAAAACUCCCUUAUACCCCCUUCACGUGUAGAAAAAGGAGGUGUAACAGCUCUAGCGACUCUACUGGGGAUAAGAAUCCAGAAUCUCUGGUUCUUGGUUCAGAAUUCGAGCUUGUUAAUAUGAUCUAUGCUUUGCUUUAUUUAUUGUUCAUAUUAUCGUAUUUGUGGACCUAAUGUGCUAACUGCUGCUUAUUUACCGCUUUGAUAGUAUUUGAAUUGUAUUAAACUGUCUUUUUACGCCUCCCACCUGAGUUUUCUAAAAUAUGGUGCACAUGUUCGCGUGACCCACUUUUCUGUUAGAAGUUAUACCAAAUAGAGCGAGGCUAGGCCAGCAAUAAGGUCGGGCAGACUUUUGUGCUCCCGGUACGUUGCCCCCAUCUCGGCUCGAGUUGUCCGCUCGGGUAAGCUAGGUCUAGAACAGACCCCAGGUUAAACCUAGAAUAACAUAGCCUCAUGUCGGAACCAUAGUAGGAAUGUUUGUUUGCAUCACAUGCAUUUGACCUUGGGGACUCAACACAGGGGUUGGGUCCGUCUAGGACAGGUGUACCCAAAUUAAAAGACCAUCCUGAUGCAUCUUACGUGCUACUUGUGUAUCUGUUUUCUUCAGCUUGUAUGUUGACUAGCUAUUAGAAUAGGUAAAGAAAACAAAACAAAAAAAGGAAAAAAAAUUGAAAAAAAUCAAGAGUGAGAGGUAGGUAAUCCGAAGCUUUGCCAAAAUUUUNNNNNNNNNNNNNNNNNNNNNNNNNNNNNNNNNNNNNNNNNNNNNNNNNNNNNNNNNNNNNNNNNNNNNNNNNNNNNNNNNNNNNNNNNNNNNNNNNNNNNNNNNNNNNNNNNNNNNNNNNNNNNNNNNNNNNNNNNNNNNNNNNNNNNNNNNNNNNNNNNNNNNNNNNNNNNNNNNNNNNNNNNNNNNNNNNNNNNNNNNNNNNNNNNNNNNNNNNNNNNNNNNNNNNNNNNNNNNNNNNAUUUUCUUUCUUCUUCAGAAGUCUUUCUUUUAAAAAUUUUUGAAAAAAACAAAUAAAAAAACUAAAAAAUAUUUUCAUUCUUUUUUCAUUGAAAAGAAAUUCAAGAAUCAAAUUUUUUUUUUCUUUAGAAGCAGUUCUUUCAUAAAUUGAAAAUAAAAGUCCAAAAAUCCAAAAAUAUUUCCUUUCUUCUUUAAAAGUUUUUCUUUCGAAAUUCCAAAAAAGAGUUAAAAUUCAAAAAUAUAUAUAUAUUUUCUUUCUAAAAAAAGUUUCAAAAUUCAAAAAGAGAGUCAAUUUAUUUACUUUAUUCCCGAUCUUCCCGAACUACGCAAGAUCUGAUUCAUGUUCCCAUAUGAUACGUAGGCAACCCACAUCAGGUUUGACCACCAUUAAAAAAAUAUGAUAAAAUGAAAAAACAAAAUGAUGAUAAUAAUAAGGGCUGACUGAGAUCAUUCUAACAUGUCUUUUAUUUUGAGUUGUGAAGAAAGUUUGAGGUGGUCGGUUUGUUGUAAGUUGACAACACAAGAUUCAAAGGAAAAAUGUCAUUGACUACUGACAUCGAAGUUGUUGCAAGCAGUUAUGAGACUCAGGGUCAGAGGGUUCAACAAGAGUCUACUGUGGUUGAGGAAAAUAGAAUACUGAAACAAAAAAUGACUGAAAUGUGUCAAGAGUGGGCCAAUGGCCAAGGACCGCCCUUUUCUUCUUAUGGUUUUCCAGAGUUCACACUCAUCUCAACUACUGCCAUUCCAGUCUUAUUGUCUGAUCAAUUCUAUCCACCUGGGUUCAGUCAUUAUCCCAACUGUAUGACUACAGCUGGAACCUCUGUUGUGCGCUCUCAAAGUUUGCCAUUGACAACCAAUCAGAUAACCGCUAUUGUUAUGCAUGUCUUCACCAUUCCACAGCCGACGGUGGUGCAGAGGAAAACUCAUGAGUCACAGUUUGCCACCCAGCAAGAACAGUCCCACUCUCUACUCUCUCGAGUACCACUCAUACCUAUUCGAUCUUCCUGCAAAGAUUGAGAAGCCUGCCCGAAAGAUGGCAUAGGAAGAAAUGACCCAAAGAGUGAAAAGCUUAGAGCAACAGUUGAAAAACAUGCAAGAGUUGGAAGGUCAGAAGAGUAUUGCCUUACAAGAUCUAUGUAUAUUCCCCGAUGUUCGUUUGCCAGUUGGUUUCAAGAUCCCCAAAUUUGAAAAGUAUGAUGGACAUGGAGACCCAAUAGCCCACCUGAAAAGGUUUUGCAAUCAACUAAGAGGUGCAGGAAGAAAUGAAGAAUUGCUAAUAGCUUAUUUUGGGGAAAUCCUUAUGGGAGUAGCAUCCGAAUGGUUUAUGGAUCAAGACACAUCUCGCUGGUACGUCUGGGAUGACAUGGCACAGGCAUUUGUCAAACAGUUCCAAUACAACAUUGACAUUGCCUCAGACCGCAAUUCCCUUUCAAACCUGAAGAAGAAAUCAAGUGAAAGUUUCAGGGAAUAUGCCAUUAAAUGGAGAGAGCAAGCAGCUAGAGUUAAGCCACCCAUAGAUGACCACGAGCUAAUCAUUGUCUUUCUUCAGGCGCAAGAGCCAGAUUACUUUCAAAACAUGAUGUCCGCAGUUGGCAAAUCCUUCUCAGAAGCAAUGAAAAAUGGGAGAAAUUGUAGAGAAUGACCUUAAGACAGGCAAAAUUAUAACUCUAAGUAGCUCUCAAAGCUGCAACUCAGGCUGUCCAAAUUGAAUCUGGUGACACGAAUGAAACGGACGAAGAAAUCAUGAUGACAUCAGGGGCGAGAAGUGGUCCUCGGAGAACAUCUCGAAGAUAUGAACAACCUCGUCUGGCUUUCCAUGAUUUCCCUAAAUACUAUUAUCCACCUCAGAACCUCAAUACUGUGUUACUUCACCUCAGUAUGUUACCGACCACCAAGACAUCCCAGAAGGCGAGCACCAGCACCGCAAAAUCUCCACCAGCCUCCACAAACUUUUCAAGUGCCCUAUAACCCACAUCCAAGCCAGGGGUAUAGAAGGGAACAAAGGUUGAAAGAUAAUUUUACACCAAUAGGAGAGUCCUAUGCAAGCUUAUUUGAGAAGUUAAAGCAUUAUGACAUGAUUGCACCCAUUCCUCCAAAUCAUGUAGACCCACGUGCAAGAAGCUUUGACCCAUAUAAAAGGUGUGAAUACUAUUCCAAUGCCCAGGGGCACAAUGCUAAAAGUUGUCGGGAUUUGAAAAGAGAAAUAGAAAGGAUGAUUCAGGAAAAAACUAAUUGUGAUCCAAGACAAUGACACCUAGAAUAUCACGCAGAAUCUUUUACCUGCACAUGAUGAUGCACACUUUGUGGGAUGAUGUCUGGUGACAUGGAGAAUGAGAAUCCACUCGGGAACUUGCCGACUGAAAUUGGAGAAGGCCAUAGUAAUUCUGAUGAGCAAAUUUGUGGCUAAAUAUCAAGGUUAGCAAUUGAAAAGUCAUUCCCUCCUUACUAGCAAGGAAUCUUGGUGGUUUGUUUUGAUUUUUUUUCUAUUAUCUGGGUUAUUUCAGGGUUGUGAUCCAGAUUUUAUUUGUUUUAUUGAGUCAAAUCCUUCUAUCCCUCCAUUCUGUCUGUGCGAGUCCUGUCCGUUUGCUCUGUUGCUAUUUUCAUCAUCCGGGUUAUUUUAGGAUUCUAACUCGGAUUUUAGGUUGUUUGUCUUGUUAUUUACUCAAUAAAAUGCAGUUUGUCCUUUUGUAUCGUUCCAUGCUUAGUUCUUUUACCGCUAGUUUUAGUGACAUGACAUGCAUGCGGAAUUUUUGGCCAGAUCUUAGAAAAUUGAUUUAAGCUUGUAUUGGAUAACUGAGAAAAAGACACUUUUGAGGAUGAAAAAGAGUUGAAAUACUUUGGAAUUAAGGUCGAGUAGAAUUCACCUUCAAAUCAAUGUGAAGAUCGGGCUUGAGGGUAUUGAAUCAAUUGAAGCUUGGUUGAAAGUUUGACAUUAAUGGAUGGAGAGUAUCUUUCGACCACGACACACCAAGAAGAUAAACAUGUUCAUCAAUGUUGUGAUUGCAGAAGGAUACUAAUUUUGGCGUUCUCGAGGUCGGGAGGCCCUUUUUCUGCUAUCCAAAAAUGUUAUAUCCUUCGUUACCCCUUUUGAGCCUGUGUUAUUUUCUUUGACCACCCUCUUUUGGAAUCUAGUUUAGAGUCAAGAGUCCAAAAAAAAGGAAAAAAGGAAAAAUGAUAAAAAAAGAAAAGAAAAGAAAAGAAAAGUCCAUGUCCCAAGAGUACAAACUGGAGCAAUUCUUAGAAAGUUCAAGAAAAAAAAUGAAAAAGAAAAGAACUGUCAAAGGUCCAUGCCCCUAGAAAAUAGAAGCUGGGGCAACUUGUUUUGAAAACAAAAAUAAAAAAAGAGAUAAAAAAAGAGGAGAGAUACAGAAAAAAAGAUGAUUUUUUUAGUUAGGUCAGAAGUUUGAACUACGUUCGACCUGAUUCCUUAAAAAAAGAUACGUAUGUGUCAUACCUUCUUUUUACCUAUCCCCAGAAGGGUUUAAGGGAGUUUUUUCCAACUUAAAGUGACAAUCGAAACGAGAUUAUUUAUUUAUAAAUUCAGAGUCGCCACUUGGGAUAAUUUAUGGUGUCCCAAGUCACCAGUUUAAAAUCCCGAAUGAGGAAAGAUUGACUCUGUUUUCAGUCCUCGAACACAGAAAUUCGGGUAAGGAAUUUUGUUAAUCCGGGAGAAUGUAUUAGACAUUCCCGGGUUCCGUGGUUUUAGCACGGUCGCUCAACUGUUAUUAUUGGCCUAUUUAUUUAAUUAAUCACAUCUUUUAAACCUACGUGCAUUUUUAAACCUUUUAAGCCGCUUUUAAAAAUCCAAUUAUUAUACAGCUAAUUAUUGAUUAUACAUGGCAAAUCAUGUCACGAGAACCGUACCCACGAUCCACAACAUGUUUAUUUUAAUUAACAAAAAUAUUGUGGUUGGGUCACAUAAAUGUACACCCGGUUUUAUUACAAAUUAAGUGUCAUGACCACGUCACAGGAACCGUACCCGUAGCUAUGACAAUUAUUUAAUUAACGCGCCUAAAGCAAACUACGAAAGUUUAAGGCAUUUUUUUAUACUAGUUUUUGUAUUUAUGUGAGGGCCAUACAUUAUGGAUUUUGUUUGCGUAUGACACACCUCAAUUAUUUUAAAAGAAAAGAAUUAUUUCACUAAGGUAAACUAAAGAUACUCCUACUUUAAUCUAAUUUAAAAUUAUAUAUCACGACCAUGUCACGAGAACCGUACCCGUAGUCAUGAUGAUGAUUUAUUUUCAUGCCUAAAGGUUCGCCUACCCGGAUGUGGUGGCCUAAGUAUGCUCUUAUGACCAAUUAAGAGAAUAAAAGUUAUAAAUUCCAAUGUUCUUUCAUUUAACGACAAAGCUCGUGCCCACAUAUUAUUAAAAGUUUUGCUAAACCAAUACAACCCAUUCAACUGAAGCGAAGCAUCCAAUCCUAGUAGACCAAACGGAAUGAAAUGAUUAUAAGAAAUCAAACCCCGGUUGACCCAGUGUAUUAAUUCAAACGAAUUUCAUCCAAGCAAAUGUAUGGUUUUUGGAAAUUUCAAUAGAGAGAUAGGAACAAAACUUAUUAAAAUUCAAUCCAUUUUAAUCAUAGAAAUUCGCAUCGUCAUAAUCAAACCAACAAGGGAAAGCUAACUACUACAGAUUAAUACACAUAAUUAUGAAGUAUGCAUUCAUUUCACAUUCUAACUUGAAUAAAGACGAGCAACAAAGCACUGUGCUUAAGGCUUUCACAUAUCCUUUUCAUGCUAAAAUCAUAUCAAAAAUAGAAUAAUAGGGAAUUGACAAUGAACCUGGACUGAACUUCUUCUUAGUAACAGUAGAGGAAUGAGCAUAUACAAUGUUUUUCUCCCAAAUUUAAACUGAGAACAACGCAAUCGAGUAGAAACGUGAGCCAAACCACGAACCUCAGACGGAAACUCGAAUCAGUAUCGGAACGAAAUCAAUCGAACCCUGUCGAUUCCAUGGAAGAAACGGGAGUGGCGACGAAAGGGGGGCUGCUAUGGUGGUGGAAGAGCUCGGAGACAGUGAGGCACGGCUGGGUUAUCUGAGGGGGGUUGGUUUCCGGUGAAGCAACGACUGCAGGUGUGGGCUUCGCCGGAGAUGAGGAAAGGGGGGGUCGUUUGGAGAAGACGAAGUCAGAGGGUGGGGUCGUUUAUGGCUGCGGUGGAUCUGUUUUGUCUCUUAGGUCUAGGUGUAUUUUUUUUCUAUCUUUUGGCUGAUUAGGUCUAGGGUGUAUAUAUUGUGUAUUUGUUUUUUCUCUUAGGUCCUUAAUGUCUUUUGUAUUUAUUUUUUGUUCCCAAGAAGAGUCUAGAAGAGUCUUUAGGGUUAGCUUGAUGGAUAUUGGGUAUUGGACAUAAUGGGCUAAUCUGAAUUGGGCCAAAAAUUAGGUUCUAAAACUUCUAAAAUUGUG